rnacentral:lncRNA from 12 species
GCAGGCUACACAGAGCCUUAAACUUGCAAAAGGGAUUUGUGAGCAGCCUGCUUGUCAAGAACAAAUACUAGUCCAAAGAAAUGUGUGACUUAUUGACCUUGGGUUCACUGAACCUUCAUCUUGAUGCUUCCGUACCACGAAGGAAUCGGCUUCCCUGAAAAUUAAAGUUCCCAGAUUAGAAUGGAAGCUUCAACAAAGGACCUGUGUGGCUUUACAAAUACACAUCGAUUAGAGGACUUUGGAAGAGCUUUGUUAGAGAAGUGGAAUUAUGAAAAGCAAAUGUUUGAGAGAGAUAUUUGGAUGAUGAGAACGCAGAAAACUGAGAAUUCGUUUUGCUUACCCCAUAAUCUGCAGUUUGCUUUGAUGAUAGUAUGUCAUAAUUCC